rnacentral:misc_RNA from 1 species
GAACGCACAUUGCGCCCGCUGGUAUUCCAGCGGGCAUGCCCGUUCGAGCGUCAUUUUAAUCUUUUCCCAGGAGACUCUUCUAUUCUGUAGUGAGAGUGUCAGCGGGGUGUUGGCAUUGGGCGCCUUAUUUUUAGGCGGCCGGAGCCGAAAUGAAGCGGCGGACUCGCGGCGGCCCCUAGCGCAGUAGAAACAACCCUUCUCGCUUAGGAGAGCUGCAGCGGCGGACCACAGCCCUAUAUGCUUUUUUUUUUUUUUUAAAAAAAAAAGCUAACAUAUAUAAAAACUUGACCUCGGAUCGGGUAGGACUACCCGCUGAACUUAAG